rnacentral:lncRNA from 1 species
UGACAGACAUUGUUACUUCACUUCACUUCAGUGCAAAUUUUUGGGCUUUUAUUGUAUUCAAUCCCUUGAUACCUCGAAAGCACGAAAGUCGCUGCUAUCUUCUUUCCAGGUCUCCAGUUGAUUGAAUAGGGGCAGCUGUAAUACCCCAAAAUUUACCCUUCAUUUUUCCUGGAAGCAUACGCUUUACACCUCAUGCAUGCAUUCAUUUUUAGGUCAUUUAACAUUAGAUACAUUGCAUUUCAUCAUAUCAAUCAGAAUUAGAUCCAAGAAACUUUAUUUUAAAAAAAAUAAUAAUAAAUAAAUAAAUAAAAAUAAUAAAUAAAUAAAUAAAUAAAAGAAAAACUUUUCAGACUUGGACCUCUCUCAAAAGCCCACUAAGCUACCAAUAUUAGGCUAUAAAUACUAGAGUUUCAGUGAAACAAAUAUGGAUUUUCUAUUCCUAUUACCCUGAGGAAAAAGAUAGUGAGAGAAGAGCUAACAGAGUUCAGAGCAGCCUCCAAACCCUGAAGGGAACUCAACUGCACAGAAUCACCUCUACCUCACAUAA